rnacentral:rRNA from 1 species
GAUGAACGCUAGCGGCAGGCUUAAUACAUGCAAGUCGAGGGGUAGCAAGAUUGUAGCAAUACAUUGAUGGCGACCGGCAAACGGGUGCGGAACACGUACACAACCUUCCUUUUAGUGGGGAAUAGCCCAGAGAAAUUUGGAUUAAUACCCCAUAAGAUAACGAAAUGGCAUCAUCUUAUUAUUAAAGCUUCGGCGCUAGAAGAUGGGUGUGCGGCUGAUUAGGUAGUUGGCGGGGUAACGGCCCACCAAGCCUACGAUCAGUAGCUGAUGUGAGAGCAUGAUCAGCCACACGGGCACUGAGACACGGGCCCGACUCCUACGGGAGGCAGCAGUAAGGAAUAUUGGACAAUGGACGCAAGUCUGAUCCAGCCAUGCCGCGUGAAGGAUUAAGGUCCUCUGGAUUGUAAACUUCUUUUAUUUGGGACGAAAAAAGAUCAUUCUUGAUCACUUGACGGUACCAGAUGAAUAAGCACCGGCUAACUCCGUGCCAGCAGCCGCAGUAAAAC